rnacentral:rRNA from 1 species
CUACGGGAGGCAGCAGUGGGGAAUAUUGCGCAAUGGGCGAAAGCCUGGCGCAGUGACGCCGCGUGAGGGACGAAGGUCUUCGGAUUGUAAACCUCUUUCAGCAGGGACGAAGCGAAAGUGACUGUACCUGCAGAAGAAGCACCGGCUAACUACGUGCCAGCAGCCGCGGUAAUACGUAGGGUGCAAGCGUUGUCCGGAUUUAUUGGGCGUAAAGAGCUCGUAGGCGGUCUGUCGCGUCGGAUGUGAAAACCCAAUGGCUUAACCUUGGGCCUGCAUUCGAUACGGGCAGACUAGAGUGUGGUAGGGGAAACUGGAACUCCUGGUGUAGCGGUGGAAUGCGCAGAUAUCAGGAGGAAUACCAGUGGCGAAGGCGGCUUGCUGGAUCUCAACUGACGCUGAGACGCGAAAGCGUGGGUAGCGAACGGGAUUAGAAACCCGGGUAGUCC